rnacentral:rRNA from 1 species
GAUGAACGCUGGCGGCGUGCCUAAUACAUGCAAGUCGAGCGAACAGACGAGGAGCUUGCUCCUCUGACGUUAGCGGCGGACGGGUGAGUAACACGUGGAUAACCUACCUAUAAGACUGGGAUAACUUCGGGAAACCGGAGCUAAUACCGGAUAAUAUAUUGAACCGCAUGGUUCAAUAGUGAAAGACGGUUUUGCUGUCACUUAUAGAUGGAUCCGCGCCGCAUUAGCUAGUUGGUAAGGUAACGGCUUACCAAGGCGACGAUGCGUAGCCGACCUGAGAGGGUGAUCGGCAACACUGGAACUGAGACACGGUCCAGACUCCUACGGGAGGCAGCAGUGGGGAAUCUGCCGCAAUGGGCGAAAGCCUGACGGAGCAACGCCGCGUGAGUGAUGAAGGUCUUCGGAUCGUAAAACUCUGUUAUUAGGGAAGAACAAAUGUGUAAGUAACUAUGCACGUCUUGACGGAACCUAAUCAGAAAGCCACGGCUAACUACGU